rnacentral:rRNA from 1 species
UGUGUAGGCGGGCAAUUAAGUCAGUGGUGAAAUCUUUCCGCUUAACGGAAAAACUGCCAUUGAUACUAUUUGUCUUGAAUUCUGUUGAGGAGGGCGGAAUAUGUCAUGUAGCGGUGAAAUGCAUAGAUAUGACAUAGAACACCGAUAGCGAAGGCAGCUCUCUAAGCAGAUAUUGACGCUGAGGCACGAAAGCGUGGGGAUCAAACAGGAUUAGAUACCCUGGUAGUCCACGCCCUAAACGAUGAUUACUCGACAUACGCGAUACACAGUGUGUGUCUGAGCGAAAGCAUUAAGUAAUCCACCUGGGAAGUACGACCGCAAGGUUGAA